CAGGUUCCCACUGAACGCAUCCGCAUUUAUGUGUGUGCGUGUGCGCGCGCAUGUGUAUGUAUAUGCGCGCGUGUUUGUGUGGGGAGCGUGUGUAUGCGCGCGCCCGGGUCCGUGGAGGGGGCGGGCUCUGAGCCCGGGGGCAGGGCUCCGCAGUGAAGAGUGGCAGCUGGACUUGCCAGGCUGCGAGGGACAGGGUGCAGAGCCGCAGUGCCGUAGUAGCGGGCUGGCGAGAUAGACUGCUUUCAAGCUGCGGAUCCCCCAGCAGAGGUGGAAGACCCUGGGAGCUGCCUAACCGCAGGCGGGUCGCUUUAUCUCCGAGCAGCGCACUGGAGCCGUCAUCCCCCCUCCCCCGAGAGGGCUGCGCGGGCGGGAAGACGCCGAGACGCCAGCUUCGGUCCCCUUUCUGUCUCUCGGUUCCUCUUUCCUCCCAAGUAAGGGAAUAAGAUUGGAGAAAGGAGCGCCCCAGGCAACCGCGCAACCAAGUGUUGCAUAGUGAGGAAAAGCCAAAAUUUGUGAAUUCACCUUGACUACAAACAGGAGAAUGUUACCUGAGGAAUAGCAGAAGAUUUUUCGCAACUUCAGAAACGUGCCUGCUGCUACCAUAGGCGCUUGAGUCCCUUGAGAAGUGUCCUGAAGGGCUCAUUUGUUGCACACCUGCAAUGAGCCAGUCCCUGUGCUGGGCCUCAGCUUCACCCUGGUGAACACAGUUCCAUCCCUGGCCUCAACGUGCUCACACCCAGUUUAAAGAUGAGCGAAGAGCAAUGGGUCUCUCUCACUCCCGAAGAAUUUGACCAACUUCAGAAAUACUCUGAAUAUUCCUCCAAGAAAAUAAAGGAUGUCUUGACUGAAUUUAAUGAGGGCGGAAGCCUCCAACAGUAUGGACCACAUGAGCCAGUUAGCUAUGAUGUCUUCAAGCUGUUCAUGAGAGCAUACCUGGAGGUAGACCUUCCUCAGCCCCUGAGCACCCACCUCUUCCUGGCCUUCAGUCAGAAGCCCAGACAUGAAACUCCUGACCACCCAAAGGAGGGAGCCAGCAGCAGCGAGCCCAGUGGCCCAGAUUCUAAUGUACAGAAUGCAGAUAAUGCUGCUAAAGCAGACGAGGCCUGUGCCCCUGAUACUGACUUGAAAAUGGUGGAGAAGCAAGCACCAUCUAAAAACCAAGUGGCUGCAACCCCCCUGGGAGCACCAGCUGCUCCAUCUUCAAGCCCAGAAUCCCCCGUAGUGUACCUGAAGGAUGUGGUGUGUUACCUCUCCCUGCUGGAGACGGGGAGACCUCAAGACAAACUAGAGUUCAUGUUUCGUCUCUAUGACUCAGAUGAGAACGGACUCCUGGACCAAGCGGAGAUGGAUCGCAUUGUCAAUCAAAUGCUGCAUAUUGCCCAGUAUCUGGAGUGGGAUCCCACGGAGCUAAGGCCUAUAUUGAAGGAGAUGUUGCAAGGGAUGGACUACGACCGGGACGGCUUUGUGUCUCUACAGGAGUGGGUCCACGGAGGGAUGACCACUAUCCCCUUGCUGGUCCUCCUGGGGAUGGAUGACUCUGGCUCAAAAGGGGACGGGAGGCAUGCCUGGACCAUGAAGCAUUUUAAGAAGCCAACCUACUGCAACUUCUGCCACAUCAUGCUGAUGGGGGUGCGGAAGCAAGGCCUCUGCUGCAUUUAUUGUAAAUACACUGUCCAUGAGCGCUGUGUAUCCAAAAACAUUCCUGGGUGUGUCAAAACGUGCUCAAAAGCCAAAAGGAGCGGCGAGGUGAUGCAGCACGCGUGGGUGGAAGGGAACUCCUCCGUCAAGUGUGACCGGUGCCACAAAAGUAUCAAGUGCUACCAGAGUGUCACCGCGCGGCACUGCGUGUGGUGCCGGAUGACGUUUCACCGCAAAUGUGAAUUAUCGACGUUGUGUGAUGGUGGGGAGCUCAGAGACCAUAUUUUGCUGCCCACCUCGAUAUGUCCUGUCACCAGGGACAGACAAGGUGGAAAGUCUGAUGGCAGUACGGCAGCCAAGGGCGAGCUUGUAAUGCAGUAUAAGAUCAUCCCCACCCCGGGCACCCACCCACUGCUGGUCUUGGUGAAUCCCAAGAGUGGAGGGAGACAAGGAGAAAGAAUUCUUCGGAAAUUCCACUACCUGCUCAACCCCAAACAAGUUUUCAACCUGGACAAUGGGGGACCUACUCCAGGCUUGAACUUCUUCCGUGAUACUCCAGACUUCCGUGUUCUGGCCUGUGGAGGAGAUGGGACAGUUGGCUGGAUCUUGGAUUGCAUUGAUAAGGCAAAUUUUGCAAAGCAUCCACCAGUGGCUGUCCUGCCUCUUGGAACAGGAAAUGACCUUGCCCGAUGUCUCCGUUGGGGAGGAGGUUAUGAAGGGGGCAGCUUGACAAAAAUCCUGAAGGACAUCGAGCAAAGCCCCUUGGUGAUGCUGGACCGUUGGUAUCUGGAAGUCAUCCCCAGAGAGGAGGUGGAGAACGGGGACCAGGUUCCAUACAGCAUCAUGAACAACUAUUUUUCCAUUGGCGUGGAUGCUUCCAUUGCACACAGAUUCCACAUGAUGAGAGAGAAACACCCUGAAAAAUUCAACAGCAGGAUGAAGAACAAGCUGUGGUACUUUGAAUUUGGUACCUCGGAGACCUUUGCAGCCACCUGCAAGAAACUUCACGACCACAUUGAGUUGGAGUGUGACGGAGUGGAGGUGGACCUGAGCAACAUCUUCCUUGAAGGCAUUGCCAUUCUCAACAUUCCCAGCAUGUAUGGAGGCACCAAUCUCUGGGGAGAAACCAAGAAGAACAGGGCUGUGAUCCGGGAAAGCAGAAAGAGCAUCACUGACCCUAAGGAACUGAAAUUCUGUGUCCAAGACCUCAGUGACCAGCUCCUUGAAGUGGUGGGGCUUGAGGGAGCCAUGGAGAUGGGGCAGAUCUACACCGGCCUGAAGAGUGCGGGCAGGAGGUUGGCCCAGUGUUCCUCUGUCACCAUCAGGACUAACAAGCUGCUGCCCAUGCAAGUGGAUGGAGAGCCCUGGAUGCAGCCAUGUUGCACGAUUAAAAUUACUCACAAGAACCAAGCACCCAUGAUGAUGGGACCUCCCCAGAAGAGCAGCUUCUUUUCACUGAGGAGGAAGAGCCGUUCAAAAGACUAACCAGUGUGCCAAACGCCAGCUAACCCAAGAGAGAAAACAAGAGACUGUAACUACAUGCACAUACACACACACUUACACAAACACGCACACACACACACACACACACACACACACACUUCUCUAAUUAGUGGAAGCAAAACUACCCUUCUGGAAGAAAAUUUCACCUUCCAUACAGUUUAUUUCAAAAAAAUGGAUACAUCCCUAACAGAGCCAGUGCCCAGAACAUUUUGAAAAGACUUAGGCCCACCAGGGUGGGUUGGCUCAUGCAGCGACCUCCAAAUUCCCACAGGCCUUGGGGAAUUGGGGAGAACUUUCUGAGACUGAAGGAGAAAUCUCUUUCUUUUCACCAGCUCUACAAGUUUCCUCACAGUCGCUCGCUGCUCGUGAGGAGCAGGCUGCAGGUUUCCUGGUAUGGUGAGACGAGAUCGGAUGUGGUGGAGGGAAAGAGCUCCGUUCCAGAGAACUUGCACAAAGGUCCUUCUGUACAGAGACAUACCAGCCUGGAGCUCUCUGCACAUAAUCCUUGGCAGGGCUCAGCAGGCGCUCGAUGGUCUCUUGGUUGUCCUUUGAGCGACAGCUUCUCCCCAGACUUGCUGAGAAGGCAGGAAGGCUGUGGAAAGCUGUGUUUCCAUUCCUGGGUUCUCUACCCCAUCGGUGGGCACUUGUUCAUUUCCCCAAGCCUUCUCCUGGUGGCUGGGUGUUUGUUUAGAGACGGCUCCAAGAGCCCCCUGAGCUGCCUGUGCAGCAUGCCUUAGAUGUGGUAUUUAUUUUCUUAGUUCUGUGAACACCUGGGAGGGAAAGUGGAGAAACUGGGAUUUAUUUUUUAAACUGGUGUCAUAAUCUUGUAUAAAAAGGGAAAGAAAAAAAAAACACCCCCAGUUUCUUUUCUUCCUGAGCCAAAGCGUGUUUCCUGUUGAGUUCCGAGCCCUGGUGGCAGACUAUUUCCCGAAGGCAGAGAAGAUGAGAGGACAGGACUGUGCUGGGGACAGGAAGACAGUCCAUCAGGCAGUUCCCAUCACCUCUCCGCACUUCCCACCCUCAGAUUCUGACCUGAAGGACCUUCUCAUGGUCUUAUGUGUGUAUAUAUGUAGCAUAUAUAUUUAUAUAUAACAUAUAAAUAUUUAUUUACGGCUGGACUUUUUCUGAUUGGAAAUAAACACAGGUAAUAUAAGAAUAGAAAGCGGGAAAGGAACCUUCCACCAUUUCAUUGUCAACACCUUUCCUCGUGCUGAUCAUAAUGUUUAAGGGAAAUGGAAGGAUGUCCUUGUCGUGAAGAGAACUCCUAUUCUGGAUCAUCAAAACCGCCAUGAAAGAUAUGCUGGGCAGGUUUACUCUCCCAUUUGUGAGAUAAGGAAAUAGAGAAAAGUAGAGAGACAGCUCCAUGGUCUCUUGGCUAAUGUGUUUUGAGAGUAGGUGCCACUAAGAAGACAAUUACUAGAGGAAAGAACCCACACAGCUGGGAAUAGGGUCAUUUCUGGUCUCUGAGAAGUGAUUCCACUUGGAUCCAGGGUGCCAGGGGAAAAUGAGCAUGCAGCAUAUGUGUGGAUGGGACAACCCCAGGUGAGAGAUCGGGGCCUUGGUGUGCUUCCAAAAGUUCUCUCUGACCUAACCUGGAGAGAAGUUGGUCUGAAGUUGAAGACAUGAGACAGAUCAUCACAUUGAACCCUCCACAUAUCUCCUCAUCAUGGUCACCAGAAUCCCUUCAUUUGGAAACACUUUGGCCGCAGGAAAAGCCACAGUGAAAAGUCACAAGCAGGACUGAGGCACCUUCUGCAAGGUGCUACCAGCCAGGACAGAGGGGUGUCAGCAGAGCUCAGUUGGCUUCAUUCACCUGGCUCCGGCAUUACCUCCCCUUCCUAAGGGCAACUAUGCAGCACUUCAUCGGUGGAAAACAACAGUUCCUGUACCCAUUAGCUCACUGGGACUUCCAUUCUCUCAGAUUUCUCAAGAGAAAAUAUGAGCUACUUGACAUCAUUCCAAUGAGCUGCUUUUAAUCUCCUUGCAUUGGGCCAGGAGCUUUGGACAAGGAAGACAAUGUGCACAAAUGGAGCCCACCUCUGAAGGAAGUAAUCUUCUAGGACCAUCUUGGACUGAGAUAUGAGACCAUCCUGCGCAAAUAACAGUGCAGAAAUGCUGAGCAAGGGGAAGAGCAGGUCACCUGAAGAAUAUCCUUACUGAUGGAAUCCUAUGUGGUGUGACCAACAAGCUCCAGAAUGACUACAGAUGGCAAGAAGCAGGUGACCCAGCUACAGAGAAGAGGCUUCACAGCAAGUUGCUGACCCAGCUUCCAGCACAGCUGUCCUCCUCCAUAGAAUGGGAAGAAGUAAACUUUUAUGCUUCUCUGUGCCAUUGACCUUAAGGCUUGAAAACAAGUGAGAGCCUUCUAUCUUGGAAAAGUUGGUCAAAUGCUCCAUGGAAGUUGUUGGGGAAAGGAGCCAAUCCACAUCCCAUGAGGGGAUGAGGGAUGAAGCCCUGCCUAGAAAAACAAGAGCAACAUGGGGAGUAGGCUACAGUCCUAUCUCAGCCUUGUGGUCUUGGACAUGACCUUUAGCCUUCUGAGACCUCUCUUUCUACCACCUAUUAAGUGAGGGAGCUCUAAAGACCAUCCUGCAUCAGUGAUUUUGCCUCCCCCUGGGAUAAAUGCUGCAGCCAUAGGAGAGAAGGCAGGUUCCUUGUCCUCUUGGGUUUCCCACCAGACCCAAGGCUUCCCCCAGCCCUGCUGACACUGAAGGGCUCCUCCUAGCCCCUCAGCCAAGAAUCGACUUUCUUUUCCUCUUGACAAUCGAAUAUAUUUGGAAACCAGUUCAUUUGGGAAGCCCAAUAUGAAACACCACAAAGAAACUCUUCAGUAAGCCCUCCACCUACACACACACACACACACACACACACACACACACACACCAAAUCCUGAAAUGUAAGUGUUUUCCCUUUUGUGUACCAAACUUCUUUUGGCCCUUUCUACUUGCCAACAAGUUGGGAGAGAGUUCAAUCCCACAAGAAAACGCAUUGCUCCCAUUAGGGAACUCACAAAUCCCACAUGUUUGGGGGUGACCCUGGGCACAGCUAAAGAUCCUAACACACUUCAACUGCAAUCUAUAAAUGCAGACUUUACCAGCCAAGACUGCAGCAGAAACUAAUUAGCACAGUGCCAGGGUCCUUCCCUCCCUGCUCUCCCACCUCCACUCCCUCCCCCACCAUGGACAUGUUGUUCCCUAACAGCGGUUGCCUGCUCAAGCCUGCCUGUCUGCCUGCACAGAGUGCUGUGGACUUGUUCUGUAAUGCACUGUGUGUGUGUGUGUGUGUGUGUGUGUGUGUGUGUGUGUGUCCUGACUCUGUGGUUUACUGCAAAUAAAAAUGACAGCAGAUGAUUGGCCCCUGA